rnacentral:rRNA from 1 species
AUCUUCCACAAUGGACGAAAGUCUGAUGGAGCAACUCCGCGUGCAGGACGAAGGCCUUCGGGUUGUAAACUGCUUUUGUCAGGGGAUAAAACGCCCAUGCGUGGGAGAUUGAAGGUACCUGACGAAUAAGCCACGGCUAACUACGUGCCAGCAGCCGCGGUAAUACGUAGGUGGCGAGCGUUGUCCGGAUUUAUUGGGUUUAAAGGGUGCGUAGGCGGCCUUGUAAGUCAGUUCUGAAAUAUCCCGGCUUAACCGGGAGGGUGGGAUUGAUACUGCAGGGCUUGAGUAGAGUCGAGGUAGGCGGAAUUGACGGUGUAGCGGUGAAAUGCUUAGAUAUCGUCAAGAACACCGAUAGUGUAGACAGCUUACUAGACUCAAACUGACGCUGAGGCACGAAAGUGUGGGGAUCAAA